rnacentral:tRNA from 1 species
AAACAAUUAGGAUAUUGCUAAACCAAAAGCCUUCAAAGCUUCUAAAAAGAGUGUAAACCUCUUAGUUCUUG